rnacentral:rRNA from 1 species
CACGUAGGGGGCAAGCGUUGUCCGGAUUUAUUGGGCGUAAAGAGCUCGUAGGCGGCUCAGUAAGUCAGGUGUGAAACCUCCAGGCUCAACCUGGAGACGCCACCUGAUAGUGCUGUGGCUAGAGUCCGGUAGGGGAGCGUGGAAUUCCUGGUGUAGCGGUGAAAUGCGCAGAUAUCAGGAGGAACACCAGCGGCGAAGGCGGCGCUCUGGGCCGGAACUGACGCUGAGGAGCGAAAGCGUGGGUAGCAAACAGG